rnacentral:tRNA from 1 species
GCCGAAGUAGCUCAGUUGGUAGAGCACGCGACUGAAAAUUGCGGUGUCCCCAGUUCAAGUCUGGGCUUCGGCACCA